GGGAAGCAAUAUUUUUUGCUUUAACUGAUGUUUUAACCAAUAUUUUGAAGUGCAUCUUGUUUUUAUUUCAAGUUCGCGGUCUGGAUUAAGUCUUUUGGAUCGUCAGAGGUGCGUUUGAUUGUGGCAACUAACAAUUACCUUCACAACGAGGAAAAACCAAGGUCACUGCAACUUCUGCAGAUGUACAGGGAAGCCUCACUGUACCCAGCACCCCAAGGCUGAUUGCAUUCGAAGAUUCUGUUCUCCAUGCCAGAAGAUGGAUGCUUACAAUGGAGGGCAGAGUCAUCAUUGAGUCACAAGACCUAACUGAUUUUCAGUCCGCAUUAGCUGUCUUGUUUGGCUGCUACUACGCUUUCAAUGUUUAGUACCAAGAAGAGGCAGCUGCGACUCUGGAGUUCCUGCAGAGAUUCAUUCUCCCCGAAUAAACCCUGAUGGGACAAAAUGCCAGUCAAAGACACGGAUCAGCCGUACCUCUGGGAAGAAGGUGCAAUGAAAAAGUUCUGGCCUGAAUCCUCAUGUUGUGACUUUAAUAAAAGAGCUUGUUGACUUUGAUUGGCAGAAUUUUAAAAAAACGACCAACGACCGAGUUAAGUAUUGUUAAUGUGUAAUGUGGAAAGUGUUAGUUUGAAUGGCUUGUUCUGCUUUUUAAAAUGUAGCCAAAAUGUAAUUUGUUCUUCAAGUAAAUUGUUGCCCUUUAAAGGGAUAGUUCACCAAAAAAUGAAGAUUCUGUUAACAUUUACUCACUCUGAUGAACAUGAAGGAAGAUAUUUUGAGGAAUGUUUGUAACCAAGGCAUUCGUGAGACACAUUUACAUAGUAUUCUUUAAUCCUACUAUGAAAGGUUGAUGAUUGGUUUGGUCACAAACAUUCCUCAAAAUAUCUUCACAAAGAACAAAGAAAUUGAUUUAGGUUUGAAACAACAUGAGAAGUAAAUGAACAGAAUUUUCAUUUUUGGGUGAACUAUCCCUUUAAGUAAAUGUCUGUUAGUAAUGUAAAACAACUUAAAGAGUGCAUUUAAAAUGUAAUGAAAUGUAAAUGUAAUUUUGUUUUCCAAUAAAUGAAGCUAAACUUGUUAGUAAAUUGAAGAGUAGUAAUUAUUUAAUAGGAAUAAAAUGAUCAUAUGUACAGACACACACAUACAUACUGUAAAUAAAAAUACAGUAAGUAUACAAAUUAUACAGUAAAUCUACUUGUGCUGUAAAUGAAAAUACAGUAGCCAUGAUGUACUGUAAAUGUCAUAACAGUAGUUAUGGCUUGCUGUAAAUUA